UACGUAGGGGGCUAGCGUUGUCCGGAUUUAUUGGGCGUAAAGAGCUCGUAGGCGGCUUGUCGCGUCGUCCGUGAAAACUUGGGGCUCAACCCCAAGCUUGCGGUCGAUACGGGCAGGCUAGAGUUCGGUAGGGGAGACUGGAAUUCCUGGUGUAGCGGUGGAAUGCGCAGAUAUCAGGAGGAACACCGAUGGCGAAGGCAGGUCUCUGGGCCACUACUGACGCUGAGAAGCGAAAGCAUGGGGAGCGAACAGG
rnacentral:rRNA from 1 species